rnacentral:rRNA from 1 species
ACGGGGGGGGCGAGCGUUGUUCGGAAUUACUGGGCGUAAAGGGUGCGUAGGCGGCUCUCUAAGUCGGAUGUGAAAACUCUGGGCUCAACCCAGAGCCUGCAUCUGAAACUGGAGGGCUAGGGUGCUGGAGGGGAAAGCGGAAUUCCUGGUGUAGCGGUGAAAUGCGUAGAUAUCAGGAGGAACAUCGAUGGCGAAGGCAAUCACCUGGGCCUGAACUGACACUGAGACACGAAAGCGUGGGGAGCAAACAGGA